rnacentral:rRNA from 1 species
UACGGGGGGGGCAAGCGUUGUUCGGAAUUACUGGGCGUAAAGGGCUCGUAGGUGGCCAACUAAGUCAGACGUGAAAUCCCCUCGGCUUAACCGGGGAACUGCGUCUGAUACUGGAUGGCUUGAGUUUGGGAGAGGGACGCGGAAUUCCAGGUGUAGCGGUGAAAUGCGUAGAUAUCUGGAGGAACACCGGUGGCGAAGGCGGCGUCCUGGACCAACACUGACACUGAGGAGCGAAAGCCAGGGGAGCAAACGGGG